rnacentral:rRNA from 1 species
UACGAAGGGGCUAGCGUUGCUCGGAAUUACUGGGCGUAAAGCGCACGUAGGCGGCUUUCUAAGUCGGGGUGAAAUCCUGGAGCUCAACUCCAGAACUGCCUUCGAUACUGGAAAGCUCGAGUCCGGGAGAGGUGAGUGGAACUGCGAGUGUAGAGGUGAAAUUCGUAGAUAUUCGCAAGAACACCAGUGGCGAAGGCGGCUCACUGGCCCGGUACUGACGCUGAGGUGCGAAAGCGUGGGGAGCAAACAGG